rnacentral:rRNA from 1 species
GCAGUGGGGAAUAUUGGACAAUGGGCGCAAGCCUGAUCCAGCCAUACCGCGUGGGUGAAGAAGGCUUUCGGGUUGUAAAGCCCUUUUGUUGGGAAAGAAAAGCAAUCGAUUAAUACCCGGUUGUUCUGACGGUACCCAAAGAAUAAGCACCGGCUAACUUCGUGCCAGCAGCCGCGGUAAUACGAAGGGUGCAAGCGUUACUUGGAAUUACUGGGCGUAAAGCGUGCGUAGGUGGUUGUUUAAGUCUGUUGUGAAAGCCCUGGGCUCAACCUGGGAAUUGCAGUGGAUACUGGGCAACUAGAGUGUGGUAGAGGGUAGUGGAAUUCCCGGUGUAGCAGUGAAAUGCGUAGAGAUCGGGAGGAACAUCCAUGGCGAAGGCAGCUACCUGGACCAACACUGACACUGAGGCACGAAAGCGUGGGGAGCAAACAGGAUUAGAUACCCUGGUAGUCCACGCCCUAAACGAUGCGAACUGGAUGUUGGGUGCAAUUUGGCACGCAGUAUCGAAGCUAACGCGUUAAGUUCGCCGCCUGGGGAGUACGGUCGCAAGACUGAAACUCAAAGGAAUUGACGGGGGCCCGCACAAGCGGUGGAGCAUGUGGUUUAAUUCGAUGCAACGCGAAGAACCUUACCUGGUCUUGACAUGUCGAGAACUUUCCAGAGAUGGAUUGGUGCCUUCGGGAACUCGAACACAGGUGC